rnacentral:rRNA from 1 species
GACGUAGGGCGCGAGCGUUGUCCGGAUUUAUUGGGCGUAAAGAGCUCGUAGGCGGCUUGUCGCGUCAACUGUGAAAACCCGUGGCUCAACCAUGUGGUCUGCAGUCGAUACGGGCAGGCUAGAAUUCGGUAGGGGAGACUGGAAUUCCUGGUGUAGCGGUGAAAUGCGCAGAUAUCAGGAGGAACACCGGUGGCGAAGGCGGCUCACUGGCUCGUAACUGACGCUCAUGCACGACAGCGUGGGAUCAAACAGG